UUCCUCUCGUGGCAUUUGCGGAGACUAAAGGUUGGGACGUUGUUGUCACACACACGCGCGCGCAGCCACGCACGCACCCACACAGCUACACACAAAGGAAGGAGAGUGGGAACAUUUUUUGCAUCUUACUGAACUUAAUAAGAAAUUGUGCUUUUUAUUGUUAAAAAGAGUAAAUAAAAAGGACUACUUAAACAUUUCUCAUUUUAAGAAGAAAAAAAAAAAAGACGUUUAUCUAGCACUUGUGACUUACCAAUAAUAGAGUUUAUUGUAUUUAUGUGGAAACAGUGUUUUUAGGGAAACUACGCAGAACACACAAAGUAAACUGCCUGUGUCAUUAUUACUAUUUUUUUUUCUUCCUUUUAAUUUGGGUUGGUAUUUUGUUUUGAUUUCUCGGCUGGGUGGGGAGGUUGGAUGCAAUCCUUUGUCAACACACGUGGUCGUUAAUUCUAAGGAGAUGAAUGACGAGGACUUUAAAGAGUUAACUCUUCAGCACAGCUGCGUUAACUUUUUUAAAAUUACUUUUACAUGAUGUAUUAUUGCUAGGUUUCACUUUAAACAGUCGUGUACUGUGCAACACUGUGGUUUAAAACGAGACUUUACAUCAAAAGGAAAACAUGUUUCUUCAUUGUCAUGAAGUUGAGCUCGUUCUCAGCUCAUCUUCACUUUGUCUUUGAUAUUGAUGAAAAAGUAUCCUAUUGAAAGAAAAUAAAUUAACACUUUUCUGUGCUCCAUAGUGGAGGCGCUAUUUUCCAAUUUAUGAGGAUGACAAACUUAUAUAUAUAAUAUAUAUAUAAAAGUGGGGGGGAGGGGUUGAAACAUUAUUCACCCAAGAGCUUAUUACAGAUAUGUAGUAUCAAAAAGUUGUAACUAUAUUAUAUUCUACUUUAUACCUAUACAUGCUCAGUAUGACAUCACCAUUGGUAGCAGCUACCGGUUUACGCUGUAAUUUAGACACAAUUUCACUCUUAUUGUAUGGACCCUACUUUAAGUGAUGGUAGCAUUCUUCGUGCUUAAAUUUUCUGAUGGUCCUUUCUUUUACUUGGUGAAGUUGGAAUAUUUUUCUCAUUCUUGUUUUGGGGGUUUUUUCUUUUGUGUUGUUUUUUUUUCUCUUUUAUCUUUUUUUUUUUUUUUUUACUGGCCAAUGGUGUCUUUCUCUGACAGUACCAACUUGCAAUUUCAACUUUAUUAGGAGUCCAGUAUUUUGUACCACAUUAUGACAACUUGUUAUUCUUGUGGUGUAAAUAAAAAGAAAAAGUUAAUUAUAGUACCACCUUGGUUUCUGUUGCUGAUCUUUUCAUCUGGUGCCUGCGGUGUGAUGUGA